rnacentral:tRNA from 1 species
CGCGGAGUGGAGCAGCUUGGUAGCUCGUCGGGCUCAUAACCCGAAGGUCGUAGGUUCAAAUCCUGCCUCCGCAACCA